AUUGAACGCUGGCGGUAGGCCUAACACAUGCAAGUCGAACGGCAGCACAGUAAGAGCUUGCUAUUACUGGUGGCGAGUGGCGUACGGGUGCGGAAUACAUCGGAAGCUACUUGUUCGUGGGGGAUAACGUAGGGAAACUCACGCUAAUACCUCAUACGACCUACGGGUGAAAGCAGGGCAUCUUCUGACCUUGCGCGAUUGAAUGAGCCGAUGUCGGAUUAGCUAGUUGGCGGGGUAAAGGCCCACCAAGGCGACGAUCCGUAGCUGGUCUGAGAGGAUGAUCAGCCACACUGGAACUGAGACACGGUCCAGACUCCUACGGGAGGCAGCAGUGGGGAAUAUUGGACAAUGGGCGCAAGCCUGAUCCAGCCAUACCGCGUGGGUGAAGAAGGCCUUCGGGUUGUAAAGCCCUUUUGUUGGGAAAGAAAAGCAGCAGGUUAAUACCCCGCUGUUCUGACGGUACCCAAAGAAUAAGCACCGGCUAACUUCGUG
rnacentral:rRNA from 1 species